CCUACGGGGGGCUGCAGUCGAGAAUCAUUCACAAUGGGGGAAACCCUGAACCAGCAACGCCGCGUGAGGGAAGACGGUUUUCGGAUUGUAAACCUCUGUCCUCUGUGAAGAUAAUGACGGUAGCAGAGGAGGAAGCUCCGGCUAACUACGUGCCAGCAGCCGCGGUAAUACGUAGGGAGCAAGCGUUGUCCGGAUUUACUGGGUGUAAAGGGUGCGUAGGCGGCCCUGCAAGUCAGAAGUGAAAUCCAUGGGCUUAACCCGUGAACUGCUUUUGAAACUGUAGGGCUUGAGUGAAGUAGAGGCAGGCGGAAUUCCCGGUGUAGCGGUGAAAUGCGUAGAGAUCGGGAGGAACACCAGUGGCGAAGGCAGCCUGCUGGGCUUUAACUGACGCUGAAGCACGAAAGCGUGGGUAGCAAACAGGAUUAGAUACCCUUGUAGUC
rnacentral:rRNA from 1 species